ACUUCUUUUUUUUUUCAGAUUAUCCCUUAUGCUGUUGUUUUAUAUUUUUUCAAGCCUAUUUAUUGUUCACUGCUUUCAAGAUCUAACUGUGUUCAUAUCUGCAUUGAACAGGCACCGUUCUCUUCAUAUGCCAUGCCUAGAAUAGAGUCCAACUCCUUAAAAUUGUGAAAGUGAAGGGAAUAUGUCAUCUCAGUGAACAGCUGGUUCUGAGG
ensembl:lncRNA